rnacentral:rRNA from 1 species
UGUGAGCUCGAUGAGUAGGGCGGGACACGUGGUAUCCUGUCUGAAUAUGGGGGGACCAUCCUCCAAGGCUAAAUACUCCUGACUGACCGAUAGUGAACCAGUACCGUGAGGGAAAGGCGAAAAGAACCCCGGCGAGGGGAGUGAAAAAGAACCUGAAACCGUGUACGUACAAGCAGUGGGAGCACAGAGCAAUCUGUGUGACUGCGUACCUUUUGUAUAAUGGGUCAGCGACUUAUAUUCUGUAGCAAGGUUAACCGAAUAGGGGAGCCGAAGGGAAACCGAGUCUUAACUGGGCGUUAAGUUGCAGGGUAUAGACCCGAAACCCGGUGAUCUAGCCAUGGGCAGGUUGAAGGUUGGGUAACACUAACUGGAGGACCGAACCGACUAAUGUUGAAAAAUUAGCGGAUGACUUGUGGCUGGGGGUGAAAGGCCAAUCAAACCGGGAGAUAGCUGGUUCUCCCCGAAAGCUAUUUAGGUAGCGCCUCGUGAAUUCAUCUCCGGGGGUAGAGCACUGUUUCGGCAAGGGGGUCAUCCCGACUUACCAACCCGAUGCAAACUGCGAAUACCGGAGAAUGUUAUCACGGGAGACACACGGCGGGUGCUAACGUCCGUCGUGAAGAGGGAAACAACCCAGACCGCCAGCUAAGGUCCCAAAGUCAUGGUUAAGUGGGAAACGAUGUGGGAAGGCCCAGACAGCCAGGAUGUUGGCUUAGAAGCAGCCAUCAUUUAAAGAAAGCGUAAUAGCUCACUGGUCGAGUCGGCCUGCGCGGAAGAUGUAACGGGGCUAAACCAUGCACCGAAGCUGCGGCAGCGACGCUUAUGCGUUGUUGGGUAGGGGAGCGUUCUGUAAGCCUGUGAAGGUGUGCUGUGAGGCAUGCUGGAGGUAUCAGAAGUGCGAAUGCUGACAUAAGUAACGAUAAAGCGGGUGAAAAGCCCGCUCGCCGGAAGACCAAGGGUUCCUGUCCAACGUUAAUCGGGGCAGGGUGAGUCGACCCCUAAGGCGAGGCCGAAAGGCGUAGUCGAUGGGAAACAGGUUAAUAUUCCUGUACUUGGUGUUACUGCGAAGGGGGGACGGAGAAGGCUAUGUUGGCCGGGCGACGGUUGUCCCGGUUUAAGCGUGUAGGCUGGUUUUCCAGGCAAAUCCGGAAAAUCAAGGCUGAGGCGUGAUGACGAGGCACUACGGUGCUGAAGCAACAAAUGCCCUGCUUCCAGGAAAAGCCUCUAAGCAUCAGGUAACAUCAAAUCGUACCCCAAACCGACACAGGUGGUCAGGUAGAGAAUACCAAGGCGCUUGAGAGAACUCGGGUGAAGGAACUAGGCAAAAUGGUGCCGUAACUUCGGGAGAAGGCACGCUGAUAUGUAGGUGAAGUCCCUCGCGGAUGGAGCUGAAAUCAGUCGAAGAUACCAGCUGGCUGCAACUGUUUAUUAAAAACACAGCACUGUGCAAACACGAAAGUGGACGUAUACGGUGUGACGCCUGCCCGGUGCCGGAAGGUUAAUUGAUGGGGUUAGCGGUAACGCGAAGCUCUUGAUCGAAGCCCCGGUAAACGGCGGCCGUAACUAUAACGGUCCUAAGGUAGCGAAAUUCCUUGUCGGGUAAGUUCCGACCUGCACGAAUGGCGUAAUGAUGGCCAGGCUGUCUCCACCCGAGACUCAGUGAAAUUGAACUCGCUGUGAAGAUGCAGUGUACCCGCGGCAAGACGGAAAGACCCCGUGAACCUUUACUAUAGCUUGACACUGAACAUUGAGCCUUGAUGUGUAGGAUAGGUGGGAGGCUUUGAAGUGUGGACGCCAGUCUGCAUGGAGCCGGCCUUGAAAUACCACCCUUUAAUGUUUGAUGUUCUAACGUUGGCCCCUGAUCGGGGUUGCGGACAGUGUCUGGUGGGUAGUUUGACUGGGGCGGUCUCCUCCUAAAGAGUAACGGAGGAGCACGAAGGUUGGCUAAUCCUGGUCGGACAUCAGGAGGUUAGUGCAAUGGCAUAAGCCAGCUUGACUGCGAGCGUGACGGCGCGAGCAGGUGCGAAAGCAGGUCAUAGUGAUCCGGUGGUUCUGAAUGGAAGGGCCAUCGCUCAACGGAUAAAAGGUACUCCGGGGAUAACAGGCUGAUACCGCCCAAGAGUUCAUAUCGACGGCGGUGUUUGGCACCUCGAUGUCGGCUCAUCACAUCCUGGGGCUGAAGUAGGUCCCAAGGGUAUGGCUGUUCGCCAUUUAAAGUGGUACGCGAGCUGGGUUUAGAACGUCGUGAGACAGUUCGGUCCCUAUCUGCCGUGGGCGCUGGAGAACUGAGGGGGGCUGCUCCUAGUACGAGAGGACCGGAGUGGACGCAUCACUGGUGUUCGGGUUGUCAUGCCAAUGGCACUGCCCGGUAGCUAAAUGCGGAAGAGAUAAGUGCUGAAAGCAUCUAAGCACGAAACUUGCCCCGAGAUGAGUUCUCCCUGACUCCUUGAGAGUCCUGAAGGAACGUUGAAGACGACGACGUUGAUAGGCCGGGUGUGUAAGCGCAGCGAUGCGUUGAGCUAACCGGUACUAAUGAACCGUGAGGCUUAACCUU